rnacentral:rRNA from 1 species
UACGUAGGGACCGAGCGUUGUCCGGAAUCAUUGGGCGUAAAGAGCGUGUAGGCGGCCACUUAAGUCCUGCGUGAAAUCUUGCGGCUCAACCGCAAGCGGUCGUGGGAAACUGGGUGGCUAGAGUGCGGGAGAGGAGAGUGGAAUUCCUGGUGCAGCGGUGGAAUGCGCAGAUAUCAGGAAGAACACCCGUGGCGAAGGCGGCUCUCUGGAACGCAACUGACGCUGAGACGCGAAAGCGUGGGGAGCAAACAGG